rnacentral:rRNA from 1 species
AGUGAACGCUGGCGGUAGGCCUAACACAUGCAAGUCGAACGGCAGCACAGUAAGAGCUUGCUCUUACGGGUGGCGAGUGGCGGACGGGUGAGGAAUACAUCGGAAUCUACUUUUUCGUGGGGGAUAACGUAGGGAAACUUACGCUAAUACCGCAUACGACCUACGGGUGAAAGCAGGGGAUCUUCGGACCUUGCGCGAUUGAAUGAGCCGAUGUCGGAUUAGCUAGUUGGCGGGGUAAAGGCCCACCAAGGCGACGAUCCGUAGCUGGCCUGAGAGGAUGAUCAGCCACACUGGAACUGAGACACGGUCCAGACUCCUACGGGAGGCAGCAGUGGGGAAUAUUGGACAAUGGGCGCAAGCCUGAUCCAGCCAUACCGCGUGGGUGAAGAAGGCCUUCGGGUUGUAAAGCCCUUUUGUUGGGAAAGAAAAGCAGCGGGUUAAUACCCCGCUGUUCUGACGGUACCCAAAGAAUAAGCACCGGCUAACUUCGUG